rnacentral:rRNA from 1 species
GACGAACGCUGGCGGCGUGCUUAACACAUGCAAGUCGAACGGAAAGGCCCUGCUUUUGUGGGGUGCUCGAGUGGCGAACGGGUGAGUAACACGUGAGUAACCUGCCCUUGACUUUGGGAUAACUUCAGGAAACUGGGGCUAAUACCGGAUAGGAGCUCCUGCUGCAUGGUGGGGGUUGGAAAGUUUCGGCGGUUGGGGAUGGACUCGCGGCUUAUCAGCUUGUUGGUGGGGUAGUGGCUUACCAAGGCUUUGACGGGUAGCCGGCCUGAGAGGGUGACCGGCCACAUUGGGACUGAGAUACGGCCCAGACUCCUACGGGAGGCAGCAGUGGGGAAUAUUGCACAAUGGGCGGAAGCCUGAUGCAGCAACGCCGCGUGCGGGAUGACGGCCUUCGGGUGGUAAACCGCUUUCGCCUGUGACGAAGCGUGGGUGACGGUAAUGGGUAAAGAAACACCGGCUAACUACGU